UUGACCUCGGAUCAGGUAGGAAUACCCGCUGAACUUAAGCAUAUCAAGG
rnacentral:rRNA from 1 species